rfam:Zea mays cultivar B73 chromosome 4, whole genome shotgun sequence.
AUACCUUCCUCGGCCUUUCAGCUAAGAUGAGUUUAAUAUUUGUUCUUAACAUUUUAAUAUUUGAUAAGUGAACCAUAAAUUCACUCCGAUGUUAAAUUUAUAUUUUUUGGGUAUCAAAUAUAAUUGUGUAUCGUUGCAACGCAUAACCAUUGUACUAGUUGUUCUAUAUAUCCGUGUCGAGAGGGUUAACCAAACCGUU